UCUGGUUGAUCCUGCCAGUAGUCAUAUGCUUGUCUCAAAGAUUAAGCCAUGCAUGUCUAAGUAUAAAUAGUAUACAGUGAAACUGCGAAUGGCUCAUUAAAACAGUUAUAGUUUAUUUGAUAAUUGACAAUUACAUGGAUAACCGUGGUAAUUCUAGAGCUAAUACAUGCUUAAACGCCCGACUUUAUGGAAGGGUGGUAUUUAUUAGACUGAAGCCAAUAUUCCUUGUGUCUAUUGCGGUGAUUCAUAAUAACUGAUCGAAUCUCUUUUUGAGAUAAAUCAUUCAAGUUUCUGCCCUAUCAGCUUUCGAUGGUAGUGUAUUGGACUACCAUGGCAGUAACGGGUAACGAAGAAUUAGGGUUCGAUUUCGGAGAGGGAGCAUGAGAAACGGCUACCACAUCUAAGGAAGGCAGCAGGCGCGUAAAUUACCCAAUCCUGACUCAGGGAGGUAGUGACAAGAAAUAGCAAACCGGGAACCUCAUGGUUUCACGGUAUUGCAAUGAGAACAAUUUAAAACCCUUAGCGAGAAUCAAGUGGAGGACAAGUCUGGUGCCAGCACCCGCGGUAAUUCCAGCUCCACUAGCGUAUAUUAAAGUUGUUGCAGUUAAAAAGCUCGUAGUUGAACCUCUGUCUGGGGCUAGUUUUGGCUUUGGUCAGGCUAGUUCUAGGCAUCCGCCUACAAGACUUAGAGGGCAUUCAGUUGUUCACUAGGAGGAGUAGGCAUUUUACUUUGAAAAAAUUAGAGUGUUUAAGGCAGGCAAUCGCCCGCAUAUAUUAGCAUGGAAUAAUAGAAUAGGACACUUUUCCAUUUCGUUGGUUAUUGGAAUCGUGUAAUGAUUAAUAGGGACAGUUGUGGGCAUUUGUAUUUAAUUGUCAGAGGUGAAAUUCUUGGAUUUAUUAAAGACAAACUAACGCGAAAGCAUUUGCCAAGGAUGUUUUCAUUAAUCAAGAACGAAAGUUAGGGGAUCAAAGACGAUCAGAUACCGUCCUAGUCUUAACUAUAAACUAUUCCGACUCAAUGUUUGACUGGCUUAUAUAACCAGUUGAGCGUUGUAUGAGAAAUCAAAGUCCUUAGGUUCUGGGGGGAGUAUGGUUGCAAAGCUGAAACUUAAAGGAGUUGACGGAAGAGCACAACCAGGAGUGGAUUCUGCGGCUUAAUUUGACUCAACACGGGGAAACUUACCAGGUUAAAACAAUAGUGGGAU
rnacentral:rRNA from 1 species